AUUGAACGCUGGCGGCAUGCUUUACACAUGCAAGUCGAACGAGUGGCGAACGGGUGAGUAAUAUAUCGGAACGUACCGAGUAAUGGGGGAUACCUAAUCGAAAGAUUAGCUAAUACCGCAUAUUAUUCGAGCGGCCGAUAUCUGAUUAGGUAGUUGGUGGGGUAAAGGCCUACCAAGGCGACGAUCAGUAGCGGGUCUGAGAGGAUGAACCGCCACACUGGGACUGAGACACGGCCCAGACUCCUACGGAGGGCAGCAGGGGGGAAUUUUGGACAAUGGGCGCAAGCCUGAUCCAGCCCUGCCGCGUGACUGAAGAAGGCCUUCGGGUUUGAAAGGACUUUUGUCAGGGCAGCGGUACCGGAAGAAUAAGCACCGGCUAACUACGUGCCAGCAGCCGCGGUAAUAC
rnacentral:rRNA from 1 species